AGAAGAUUGUCCGAGAGGUUUAAGGAGGCAUACUUGAAAUAUGUUAAUUAUAUAAAAUAACAUUGGUUCGAAUCCAAUAUCUUCUG